UUUUUUUUCUUGCUAGUGCUACAUAAUAAUAAUUGUGCCAAAAUUGUUAAAACUGUAGAUUUAUCUUAAUGAAACAAUUAAUGAACAAAAAAUGAAAUUAAAUGUGAUCUAUGCUGUAAGUCCUUUCUCCUCUAUUUACAUUACAGCUCAAUAUUCUGUUGCUUGCCAAGAAGCUUUUAUUUUUAUUAAUGUCACCUCUUUGGUAGUCAUCCAAAAAUGCUUUAAGUAUUUCUUUCAUUAAAGGCCAUCUUUUAUUUACCUCUGAAAAAAUAUAUAGAUUUUAAGUUAUUCUUAUUUAUUUUUCCAGCUUCAUCAUUCCAGCUUCAUCAUUUCUUCAUCUUCCUGAUUGCCCAAUAAAAUUUUUGGAUUCUCAGAUGACUGGCUGGCACAUUUGGGUAUCAUUCUUUGCAAGUCUCUGAACCCAGCCUUAAGGAAUCACAGCCUCCAGUUGAUGUCUCUUGGAACAGUCCCUCGGGAACCCUGCAUUGUCACGUGGGUUGAGACCAAUUGAUGCAACUUAGAUGGCAGCUUGCUAGCUUUUAAGACCUCAGAUGCCACUCUUCCUGCAGGAUUCUUGAUCUACAAAAUUGUGAGCAAAAUAAAAUUAUUGUUGGUUUAAACCACUAUGUUUUGGGGUAAUUUGUUAUAUAGUAAUUGCUAACACGAACAGAAGGUGAUCAAAGGAAACAUUGGUAGGGGUACAGGGAGUUGGCAAAGAAAAGAAAAGGAAGUCAAUAUAUGGAAUGCAUUAAUGAGUAGGUUACUACUGUGGUCAACUGAGCUUCAACCUACCAGAGACGCUGUGUGGAACAUGGCUCAGGGUUUAGGGUUCUUCCUGUGACCAAGUCUCAAUACUUUCAGCUUGCCCUGCUUGUAGGCAUGUUAUGCUCCUGAGCCUAGAGAAAGCUUUCUGGCAGAGUCCAGGUGUGUGCAGCAGAGCUGUGGCUGUGCACGUGAAGGUGAGUGCCAAGGGGAAGUGGGCAGGACUGACAGCCCGUGCUAUAACAUGCAUAGGUCCAAUGUAGGAUCUUCACAGGCAUUUCCAGGGAGGGUAUAUCAUUGUUGUUUUUUGGGCCUGACUUUUCUGCCAAACACAUUAGUGGCUGCUGACAUGUGUAUUGUCACAUGUCAACUUUUAUUCCCAACUUUCAGUGGCUUAAUUAUUCAAAGGCCAAUUCAAAUAGCAUCUAUCCCUAGAUGACUUCCUAUGCCCACUCCAAGAAAAAUUAAUCCUUUCUGUGUCUGUAUAUUUUAUGACACCUUUUAAAAUUCCAUGUCAAUAUCUCUGAGUAUAUUAUCACAUUUUGUCAUAGUUUAAUGUCAGUGUCUCCAUCCCCUAAUUUCCUCCACUCCAUCCAAACUCCAGUAGGAAAUAGGCUGACUGGACAAGUCUUGUGGAUCUUUUUUUUACUUGCCAUACUGGGAACUAAUCCAGCUUCAUGGGAGACAAACAGAGGAUACUAGAUAUUUGUUUACUGUAUUAUAAUGGAUUGAAAUAAAUGUUUUGGUUGUCUUAUAUCUUUUCGAAAGUAUUUACAUCCUGUUAAAAAGAAGGCAAGAGAUUUCCCACGCAUUCUAAUUUAAACUUGUUUCCAUCAAGAUCCACUGCACCAA